rnacentral:rRNA from 1 species
GGAUUAGAUACCCUGGUAGUCCACGCCCUAAACGAUGUCAACUAGCCGUUGGGUCCCCUUAAUAGGACUUAGUGGCGAAGCUAACGCGUUAAGUUGACCGCCUGGGGAGUACGGCCGCAAGGUUGAAACUCAAAGGAAUUGACGGGGGCCCGCACAAGCGGUGGAGCAUGUGGUUUAAUUCGAUGCAACGCGAAGAACCUUACCAGCCCUUGACAUCCUCGGAACUUAGCAGAGAUGCUUUGGUGCCUUCGGGAACCGAGUGACAGGUGCUGCAUGGCUGUCGUCAGCUCGUGCCG